AGAGUUUGAUUAUGGCUCAGGACGAACGCUGGCGGCGUGCUUAACACAUGCAAGUCGAACGGAAAGGCCCUGCUUUUGUGGGGUGCUCGAGUGGCGAACGGGUGAGUAACACAUGAGUAACCUGCCCUUGACUUUGGGAUAACUUCAGGAAACUGGGGCUAAUACCGGAUAGGAGCUCCCGCUGCAUGGUGGGGGUUGGAAAGUUUCGGCGGUUGGGGAUGGACUCGCGGCUUAUCAGCUUGUUGGUGGGGUAGUGGCUUACCAAGGCUUUGACGGGUAGCCGGCCUGAGAGGGUGACCGGCCACAUUGGGACUGAGAUACGGCCCAGACUCCUACGGGAGGCAGCAGUGGGGAAUAUUGCACAAUGGGCGGAAGCCUGAUGCAGCAACGCCGCGUGCGGGAUGACGGCCUUCGGGUUGUAAACCGCUUUCGCCUGUGACGAAGCGUGAGUGACGGUAAUGGGUAAAGAAGCACCGGCUAACUACGUGCCAGUAGCCGCGGUGAUACGUAGGGUGCGAGCGUUGUCCGGAUUUAUUGGGCGUAAAGGGCUCGUAGGUGGUUGAUCGCGUCGGAAGUGUAAUCUUGGGGCUUAACCCUGAGCGUGCUUUCGAUACGGGUUGACUUGAGGAAGGUAGGGGAGAAUGGAAUUCCUGGUGGAGCGGUGGAAUGCGCAGAUAUCAGGAGGAACACCAGUGGCGAAGGCGGUUCUCUGGGCCUUUCCUGACGCUGAGGAGCGAAAGCGUGGGGAGCGAACAGGCUUUAAUACCCUGGUAGUCCACGCUGUAAACGGUGGGUACUAGGUGUGGGGUCCAUUCCACGGGCUCCGUGCCGUAGCUAACGCUUUAAGUACCCCGCCUGGGGAGUACGGCCGCAAGGCUAAAACUCACAGGAAUUGACGGGGCCCCGCACAAGCGGCGGAGCAUGCGGAUUAAUUCGAUGCAACGCGUAGAACCUUACCUGGGUUUGACAUGGAUCGGGAGUGCUCAGAGAUGGGUGUGCCUCUUUUGGGGUCGGUUCACAGGUGGUGCAUGGCUGUCGUCAGCUCGUGUCGUGAGAUGUUGGGUUAAGUCCCGCAACGAGCGCAACCCUUGUUCACUGUUGCCAGCACGUUAUGGUGGGGACUCAGUGGAGACCGCCGGGGUCAACUCGGAGGAAGGUGGGGAUGACGUCAAGUCAUCAUGCCCCUUAUGUCCAGGGCUUCACGCAUGCUACAAUGGCUGGUACAGAGAGUGGCGAGCCUGUGAGGGUGAGCGAAUCUCGGAAAGCCGGUCUCAGUUCGGAUUGGGGUCUGCAACUCGACCUCAUGAAGUCGGGGUCGCUAGUAAUCGCAGAUCAGCAACGCUGCGGUGAAUACGUUCCCGGGGCUUGUACACACCGCCCGUCAAGUCAUGAAAGUUGGUAACACCCGAAGCCGGUGGCCUAACCGUUGUGGGGGAGCCGUCGAAGGUGGGACUGGUGAUUAGGACUAAGUCGUAACAAGGUAUCC
rnacentral:rRNA from 1 species